ACCAAGCUCAAGGAUGGACUCACCAUUGGAAUAGCAUUUAAUCAUGCUGUACUGGACGGUACUUCCACGUGGCACUUCAUGACCUCCUGGGCCGAGCUCUGUUGUGGGUCCACCUCCAUCUCGGUCCCACCUUUCCUCGAACGCACCAAAGCUCGCAACACCCGAGUCAAGCUCAACCUUUCCCCGCCAUCCGACGCACCAGAAUCUGCUAAGUCAGCAACCAAUGGUGAAGUCAUCCCCAGCGUGGACCCACCUCUCCGCGAAAGGCUCUUCAAGUUCUCCGAGUCAGCAAUUGACCAAAUCAAGUCAAAGGUCAACACUAAUCCCCCAGAGGGAUCCUCCGCCCCAUU
rnacentral:lncRNA from 1 species